rnacentral:rRNA from 1 species
UACGAAGGGUGCUAGCGUUGUUCGGAAUUACUGGGCGUAAAGCGCGCGUAGGCUGUUUGACAAGUCAGAGGUGAAAGCCCUGGGCUCAACCCAGGAAUUGCCUUUGAAACUGUCAGACUAGAGUGUCGGAGGGGAUAGCGGAAUUGCUAAUGUAGAGGUGAAAUUCGUAGAUAUUCGCAAGAACACCAGUGGCGAAGGCGGCUCACUGGCCCGGUACUGACGCUGAGGUGCGAAAGCGUGGGGAGCAAACAGG